ACUAUUCAUGGCUACGCUCAGUCCGGUGACCUUCUUUGAUUUCAAUAGCUACUCCGAGACAACCCGUCUCAUAUCAACCUGUCUUAAGAUCCCAUUCUCUCUCUUUAUACGAGUUGGAUGACACAGACGCCACUUCAUGUUUCUGCUGGUUAUAACAGGGUUGAGAUAGUCAAAUUUCUUCUUGAUCGGCAAGGGACAAGUCAUAAGGUUGAGUUGGAAGCUAAGAACAUGUAUGGAGAAACUCCUUUGCACAUGGCAGCAAAGAAUGGAUGCAAUGAUGCUGCACAGUUACUUUGGUCAUGGUGCCAUUAUUGAAACCAAAGCAAAUGUGCUUUUUCUUAUUACCUUGUGAUCCAUUUUUGAAGAGUUCAAAUUAAAAGUGGGAUUUGGAUUUCUGAUCGUAAACUCAAUUUUGUGCUGUCUUAUUAAUGCAGAAUGGAAUUACACCAUUAAAUCUUGUUGUUUGGUACUCACUUCGAGCU